rnacentral:rRNA from 1 species
CAGUAGCCACGGGAAUACGAAGGGGGCUAGCGUUGCUCGGAAUGACUGGGCGUAAAGGGCGCGUAGGCGGCGAUCAAAGUCAGGCGUGAAAUUCCUGGGCUCAACCUGGGGGCUGCGUUUGAUACUUGAUUGCUAGAGUGGGGAAGAGGGUCGUGGAAUUCCCAGUGUAGAGGUGAAAUUCGUAGAUAUUGGGAAGAACACCGGUGGCGAAGGCGGCGACCUGGUCCUUGACUGACGCUGAGGCGCGAAAGCGUGGGGAGCAAACAGGAUUAGAUACCCCAGUAGUCCCUGUCUCUUAUAU